rnacentral:rRNA from 1 species
GAUGAACGCUGGCGGCGUGCUUAACACAUGCAAGUCGAACCGAAAGGCCCAAGCUUGCUUGGGUACUCGAGUGGCGAACGGGUGAGUAACACGUGGGUGAUCUGCCCUGCACUUCGGGAUAAGCCUGGGAAACUGGGUCUAAUACCGGAUAGGACGAUGGUUUGGAUGCCAUUGUGGAAAGUUUUUUCGGUGUGGGAUGAGCUCGCGGCCUAUCAGCUUGUUGGUGGGGUAAUGGCCUACCAAGGCGUCGACGGGUAGCCGGCCUGAGAGGGUGUACGGCCACAUUGGGACUGAGAUACGGCCCAGACUCCUACGGGAGGCAGCAGUGGGGAAUAUUGCACAAUGGGCGCAAGCCUGAUGCAGCGACGCCGCGUGGGGGAUGACGGCCUUCGGGUUGUAAACUCCUUUCGCUAGGGACGAAGCGUUUUGUGACGGUACCUGGAGAAGAAGCACCGGCUAACUACGUG